GACGAACGCUGGCGGCGUGCUUAACACAUGCAAGUCGAACGGAAAGGCCCUGCUUUUGUGGGGUGCUCGAGUGGCGAACGGGUGAGUAACACGUGAGUAACCUGCCCUUGACUUUGGGAUAACUUCAGGAAACUGGGGCUAAUACCGGAUAGGAGCUCCUGCUGCAUGGUGGGGGUUGGAAAGUUUCGGCGGUUGGGGAUGGACUCGCGGCUUAUCAGCUUGUUGGUGGGGUAGUGGCUUACCAAGGCUUUGACGGGUAGCCGGCCUGAGAGGGUGACCGGCCACAUUGGGACUGAGAUACGGCCCAGACUCCUACGGGAGGCAGCAGGGGGGAAUAUUGCACAAUGGGCGGAAGCCUGAUGCAGAAACGCCGCGUGCGGGAUGACGGCCUUCGGGUUGUAAACCGCUUUCGCCUGUGACGAAGCGUGAGUGACGGUAAUGGGUAAAGAAGCACCGGCUAACUACGUG
rnacentral:rRNA from 1 species